GCCUUCGAACUGGGGCGUGGCUAAAAGAGUUUCAUUUUCUGUUUCUCUUAGCACAACGAAUGAUCGGCAGUCUUAACGUGGGAUAAAGAUUUUCAGUGAUUUUUUUUUUUACUAGCGUUCCUGACUACCGAUUCUUUUUUAACGAAACAAACAUAAACCUGACAUGAUGAAGACACAGAUGUUGGUACUUGUUGCAUGUGUUACUACUGCGUCUGUCAAAGCAGACGCGAGAUGUGACCCGGACAUUCCUUCUCGACCUCUACCAACCCUUCCUAUAACGGAUCACAGUUCAAGGACUUUCAAUGUCAGAUGCCCAGAGGGAGAGUUCUCAAGCUUGGGGAAGUGCUUACCUUGUGAGGCAGGGACAUUCAGAACUAAAGCGAUGGCCGCACUGGAUUAUCCGACUUGUCUUGCGUGCCAAGAAGCAGACACAAACCUGCACGAGGUGGUUAUCACGCCAUGCAAUAGGACCAGGGACUCUCAGAUUAUGUGUGAAAAUGGCUACUAUCGUAAUGAGACUCCCGAGAAACCGUGUCAUUCGGAAUGUAAAAUCUGUUCCGUUUGCGGAUUGGGUACAGAGAUGUUCCGCGACAAACUAGUGCGUAAUUGCAGUGAUACCCAGGACACGUUGUGCUGUGACAAAAAAUACAUCGCAGACGAACUGGGCAGACGCUGUGUUGAGAUGACCUCAGCUAGACCUACCACCUCCACAAGGCUGGCCGAAGUUAAGUCUACAGCCAGAAGCGCCAUUGCUACAACAAAAGAAGCAUCAAUAGGCCUACAAUCGCGAUUUCGCCAAAAUGAAAACACUGUCAAAGAUUGCGUUGUACACUUACAAAGCUCGGUAACUCUAGUUAUUUUGUUAUCGGCCCUUGCUUGCUAAUUGGCGUAUUAAUAGUAAUUGCUCAGUGAUAGUGUACACAAGGGAAACGCUAGUCAUUACCAAAAAAUUUAUCAAUGGUGUAGGCAUAAUUUUUUGUAAUUUUUUAUUAAGAAGCCGCACGAACUUAAUUGUUUAUCCAUUUAUUUAUUUUGCGCUUAGUUGAAUAGAAAUAGUUGUAUCAGACGUCCAUAAUUUUAAAUUAUUUAUUAUUAUUUAUUAUCAAUUAUGUCCCUAAGAAAUGGCAAAAAAACAACGAAAUUUUAGUUUAUAAUUAUAUUUCCCUUGUUAGUAGGUGAUGCAGUAUACGUCACUAUGGCAGGGGUUCUCAACCUGUGGGUCGCGACCCCCUACGGGGUCGAUUGACGAUUUGCCAGGGGUCGCUUAAGACCAUCGAAAAUAUGUAUUGUUAUUGUCUACUCUUCUAUUGAUGUAUGUGUUUGUUGGGGGAUGGGGGUCGCGGCAGAGUGGGGGAAUAUAAAAAGGGGUCGCCGAGCUUAAAAGGUUGAGAACCGCUGCACUAUAGCGAGGGUAGACUGAACCAAAAGUCACAAAGCCAGUUUGCGUUAAAUUUUGUUGUUAGUUCGAGGAAUGGUUAUGCUCAUUGAACGCCCUCAAACCAUAGCUUUGUAAAUACACUCCAAUCAUCAUUGGCUUCCUUCAGUCGUAGAAACGACUAUGGUCCACCUCAGAGCGAGUGAGAUGAAAGCCUGGGCAUUGUUUAGGGUCGGAACGAUGUCGCCCACCACAGCAGUUCCACCCUCUCUCUCAGCGAUGCAGAUGUGACCAAAAGAACGGAGUAUCCAAUACACUAAACAUACAUAUAAGAAACAUUGCUGAACUAGAGUGCUAAUAAAAUACUCUGAAAGACACAAAGAUAAAGGCACAUUCCUCGUCCCAUAUGCUAGGACAAAUUUGUACAAAUAUUCCUUCUUCCCUAGCGCUAUUAGAGCAUGGAAUGGGUUGCCUGAGCUAGCCAGGAAAACCAGUGACUUGGCAGAGAUUUAAGUCAUUGGUUAAUAUGCAUGACUAAAUGCAUGACGCGUAGGACGUAAUCAUCUUCUUUUUUUGAAGUAACGUCUGUAUUAUAUAAGAUAAGAUAAGAUAAGUAAUACAACUACAUAUUGCGGUCACGUGGUCUUCAUCAGCUACAAAUUACGUAUAUACUCACCUUAGCAAUGUUGUUUGGGGGUUGGAGUUGGGAAGGCAUACGUUCCACCCCUUUUUCCUGUAAUUAAGUCAGACCGCACUGUUUCCUGUCGAUUUCCCGCGCUUCGCUUUUGCACCAGCGAGCCUCAUUGCUGCCUAGACAAAGAGAUGGAUGAACUAUAAUCCUAUUUUUGUGUUAAUUGUUACAGACUUACAUCAUUAAGACCUACCUGUUUCAAAAUGUUUUUAGAUUAGUUUGUCAUUCUUGCUCUCGUGUUUAUUUUGUUUAUGUUAUUACAGCGCCUUUGAGCCUACAUUUUCUAAUUUUGUUAAAAGCGCUCUAUAAAUGAAAUUAUUAUUAAUUAAAUUAUUAUUAUUAUUUAUUAACUCAUUCUGUCUGGUAAAAAGUUUGUACACGUUAUUUCUCCAAUUACACCGAAUCUCGGAUCAAGCUGAAAUUUUGCACAAUUAUUUCUUUUACCUGUCAGUACAACAAUCAAUUUUUUUUUUAAAUUACCCAUUACUUUAUUAACUAUUGGUAAUUAAUUAGUAAGUUUGGUAUCUCGAACAAGGGAAAGAAAUUGUACUUGACUGAAGUGGUGGUAUAAGCUGAAUUUUUAAUCACACAGAUUUCUUAUUGUUAGUCUAGAGACUAGAUCUAUUACAAACUUAAUUACAUGACUGAACCAAACGAAUCGAUACACUUAAUAUGAGCUAUGUUUGUGAAAAAAAAAUGUUUGUGUUUGUAUUUUGCUUGUUUACCUUUUUUGUUUGUUUGUAGCUGAUGAAGGCCCCGUUUCCUAUAUGUGUGUUAAUGGUACAGCCGUUCAACCCUGCACAGGGGCGCAUGUAAAAAGGGGGAAGCGAGUCUGAGUUACUACCUUGGGAACCUUACAAGAAAGGGGUCCCCAAAAUAGAAAUUAUACAUAUAUAUAACAAUAACUCAUUUUAUUUAUUUAUUUAUUUAUUGCUUUAUACAUAUUUGUUCGCAUUAACUUUUAAAGUUCUGAUAUAACAAUAAAUCAAACUAUAAAAUCUCUUAUUUAACUAAGAGAUCUACAGAGCUAAAUAAUCUUUGAUCUAUGCACAUUUGUGUACACCUAUAAUCUCUGUUUAAGCCAGACAUGUAAAAUAAUAAAAUCUCUGAUAUGUGAAGAGAUCUCUCUAUAAAAUCUCUGAUAUGUGAAGAGAUCUCUCUAUAAAAUCUCUGAUAUGUCAAGAGAUCUCUCUAUAAAAUCUCUGAUAUGUGAAGAGAUCUCUCUAUAAAAUCUCUGAUAUGUGAAAAGAUCUCUCUAUAACAUCUCUGGCAUGUGAAGAGAUCUCUCUAUAAAAUCUCUGAUAUGUGAAGAGAUCUCUCUAUAACAUCUCUGGUAUGUGAAGAGAUCUCUCUAUAAAAUCUCUGAUAUGUCAAGAGAUCUCUCUAUAAAAUCUCUGAUAUGUGAAGAGAUCUCUCUAUAACAUCUCUGAUAUGUGAAGAGAUCUCUCUAUAACAUCUCUGGUAUGUGAAGAGAUCUCUCUAUAAAAUCUCUGAUAUGUCAAGAGAUCUCUCUAUAAAAUCUCUGAUAUGUCAAGAGAUCUCUCUAUAAAAUCUCUGAUAUGUCAAGAGAUCUCUCUAUAAAAUCUCUGAUAUGUCAAGAGCUCUCUAUAAAAUCUCUGAUAUGUGAAGAGAUCUCUCUAUAAAAUCUCUGAUAUGUCAAGAGAUCUCUCUAUAAAAUCUCUGAUAUGUCAAGAGCUCUCUAUAAAAUCUCUGAUAUGUGAAGAGAUCUCUCUAUAACAUUGAUAUGUGAAAAGAUCUCUCUAUAACAUCUCUGAUAUGUGAAGAGAUCUCUCUAUAAUAUCUCUGAUACGUGAAGAGAUUUCUAUAAAAUCUCUGAUAUGUCAAGAGAUUUCUCUAUAAAAUCUCUGAUUUUAACAAGAUAUUACCUUUACAGUGCCUUGAGGCUAUAUUAUUAUUAUUAACAGCGCUUUAGACAUAAAAUUAUUCUUAUUAUUUGCCUUCCGCUGCGUAUAAGUAUGCGGGAAAAGAUAUUCCUGUCUCAUCUAUUCAAGCCAAACUUGAUCAAAUUUCCUUUAGUUCAUUACAUGAAAGUGAAGCUUCCUUUUCGCGAUUGUACAGAGCCGACAGUGAAAUGUUUCUUCCAUUCUUCAGAGGCAUUGUUGACUUUAUAAUAUUUCCUGUUAUUGUAGCUCAAAAAUACUUUUAAAAACAUAGAAUCGAUUUUUAAACUACUACAACUAGUUUGUUAUAGAAACUCCAUUUUGAUUUGUUUUGUUGUUUUAUAUUUAUGCCAAAUUUACAUUCCAUUUUUUUUUAAACAUUUUUUAUUAUGAUUCUGUAACAAUUCUUUCUAAAUCUUGUUAUUGAAUUAGGAUUUGGAAGUGAUAAAAAAAAAACAGUGUAUGUGUUCAACAAAAAAAAAAACAAAUGUGUUCAACUGUCUGCUUGUGUACCAAAAUAAAAAACAGUGUAUGUGUUCAACUGCCUGCUUGUGUACCCAAAUAAAAAGUAAAAUAGGUACCCUUUCAGACCUCGUUAUCUAUUGGGCAUAUUUGGAACGGGGCGUUUACUACCCCCAACUAUUAUCAGGUACCCAUUGACGCUGGGUGGCGUCAGGGGCGCCUUAAAAAUCCCGAAGUUCGAGAUCCCAGUCUUCACCGGAAUUUGAAUCCGAGACCCCUUCGGAACUUCUGAAGCAACGCACUUUGCUGCCUAGCAACCACGCCCCCACCCCCACCCCCCAACGUGCAAAUGUUGCUGGGUGAUUAUAGAUUGAGACGAGAACAUUAAGAAUCCUUUCUGGUUAUGGCGCAGUAAUGUUUUAACUUUCACUUUGACUGAUCUGAAGACUCGAUCCAGAAAUAUUGGUUAUUUGUGCGUAUUUAUUGAUUGGAAGCGUUAUUCUACACUGAAUGCUCAAUAGAAGUAUUGUAAAGUAUUUGACUAUAAUUAGAGCAUACAAUACUUAAAACUACAAGCCUAAUAACUGACCAUACAAUUAUAUCCCCUGGCUAUUGCUUAUAUCGUGUAAUGUUAAGACACUUCAAUAACCAUGCCCUAUACUUACAAGAAGCUACUUACAUUUUUAUAUUGUAUAACUUUAAUAUCUUUUGCUGUAACACCUAUAUCUAAAAUUUACACAGAUCGUCCAUAGUGUUAAUUAAUUUUUCUCAAGUCUAAGUUUAAUAUUCAAACUUUUUGUUGAGAAUUUUUUGGAAUGUUUUUUAUAGCGUCAUUUCUACUAGAUCAGCCAAAAAUAAUUUACUUUUAUAUUGAAUUUUGAUGCUAAUAUUUACCAUGGCCAUGUUGCUGUUAAUCAAUCAUUGCUUGCUUACUUUUACCAUACAAAUGAUAUUUUAACGUUAUUUGUGUUCAUUCUAAAAAUGCACUACUGCAUCCACAUUUUAAGGUUUAUUGCAUAUCAUUUGAUGUGUAUCAUGCACUGCUAAAAUUGAAUUGUAAAGAUUAAUUACUCUAUCCUGCUUAUCAGUGGCGUCACUAGGGUCGGUGUCACCCGGUGUGGUCUGCACCCUUUAGUGAAGCCACUGCUGCUUCUUUAUACGAGACGAAUGUAUUGUUACUGUAAUAUUGUUUCAUUUCAUACAUGUCGGAGAAAAUAUAAACCACAGGCAUAUACAUAGGUCUGUGAUAUAAACGUUUAGCUUUUGGGCUGCAUCUGGUGCACAAGGUAAUGGAGGCGCUGAUAAGCCUUGCUUUUUAAAACGUAUAUGAUAAUGUCUGUGCACUUUUUAGCACUGGAGAAUCAAAAAUUUUUUUAAAGCGCUUCCGUUAGCGCACAAAUUCGUGUAAAUAUGGAGAAAAUACUAUACUUUCAUUCGAGGACUUCAAAACUUAAAAAACAACAACAAACGGGCAAUUAACUUGAGGUAAUAGAAGAGAUUUUAUAUCCAGGUGAGUCUACAUUCGUGGUUUGUAACAGUGAUUCACAAGUUAUGGUGAAAAUCUCCAGUGAAUAUUAUAUAAAUUAUAUUACGUUUAAACGUAAAUUUGAUGCUAAUGUUAUGUGUACAAUUUGACCAUUUGGAAAUAUUUGUAUCUAAGAAUGGACGUUGUACAGGAGAAGUUAAGAUUAGGGCAUUAUUAGCAUUUGUUGGGCGUGUUCUAUUCCAUGUUCAAUUUUAUUUGUUUAAGUAUUAGAUAUUUAUCUGUGAAGUAUCAGGAACUAUUUAUAACUGUAGUGUUUUCCUCUGCUUACUUUUAGGGUUAUGAAGGAAAUGGCAUUUGAACCAUCUUUUUGUGUUUUUUUUUUUUUUUUUGGUUGUGACGUUGGUGCUCAGAUUAAUAUUAGUAUUUGUGUAAAUCAUGAAAUGACCACCAUAUAAAAAUAUUAGGAUUAACUAGGUACUCUGAAUGUCGCAUGUAUAUUAGAAUUAUCUUGCAUUAACAUUUAACUGUGGGGGUGAUAAGGGUGAAAUGGUUUCCACAGAAGUUUUAUUUUAUAUUUUUAUAUUUAUUAAAGAAAGAAAUUUUAGUAACAAAUAUGUACAGAAAAAUUUUAUUAGAAUUUGUGCAUGAUUUUUUAAUUGGCAUGUGUUCUGAAGGAAUGAUAAAUAAAGAGUAUUUUGGAAAUUU